rnacentral:lncRNA from 1 species
AAAAAAACUUGUCUUGAUGCAUUCCAGGUAAAGUUGAAGGCAUAGGAAUGAGUUUAAAAUUUUCUGAGAAAUAACCUAUUUAAAGGGAAGAAAUAUUAUGAGAACACUGCUUAGAAUUAACAAAUUGAUUUGCAAAUCAACCUGUUUACUUUAACAAAGUUAUAUUUUUCCAGUGUCCUAAGUGGUGAGGGAUGACAUGGAUUGUAGUUCCCUGUCCUACAUGAAGACAUAGCACUUUUCUUAGAGUUAAGAACUUACAUCAGACAUACGGAUGUGGAAGUGACAUAGUGCUUUCCACUAACUGGACUUCACAGAAUUAACCAGAAGGUUGUCAGGAGACAUUUCAUACAGGUUUCCAGAUGGUCUCCCAUCCAAGAAACUCCUUUAUUACUCAAAGUAGGUAGGGCCCUAUUUUUACUGAAAUACUUUGGACUAGGUUCUUGUGUUUUCUGCAGUUGUAAGAAAUGAAGUGAAGCUUAAUUAAGGCCCACAUCAUAAAUACUUAAGCAGUUUAUAUUCGUCAUCCAAUCGUUCUUUAACAACAUACAAUUAAAACAACCUAACAACGAUUCUAGUAUGGAGAAAAUACUGAGACUAAACAAAGCUAGUCUAUUUUAUUUUAUAGAGGAUCCAUUUUGACAGUUUAUAGUUUGAAGCAAUUGUGUAAUUUUCAUUGGGUUAAGAUUUAUACAAUGUUGAAGAGAGGCUGCCAAUUAAAAUCAUUUCUGACUGAAAACAGUUUACCUGCGAUUUCUGCAAAGAGCAAGUGAAAC